rnacentral:rRNA from 1 species
AUAAGCGGAGGAAAAGAAACCAACAGGGAUUGCCCUAGUAACGGCGAGUGAAGCGGCAACAGCUCAAAUUUGAAAUCUGGCCCCCGGGUCCGAGUUGUAAUUUGUAGAGGAUGCUUUUGGUGCGGUACCUUCCGAGUGCCCUGGAACGGGACGCCAUAGAGGGUGAGAGCCCCGUCUGGUUGGACGCCAAUCCUUUGUAAAGCUCCUUCAACGAGUCGAGUAGUUUGGGAAUGCUGCUCUAAAUGGGAGGUAUAUGUCUUCUAAAGCUAAAUAUUGGCCAGAGACCGAUAGCGCACAAGUAGAGUGAUCGAAAGAUGAAAAGCACUUUGAAAAGAGAGUUAAAAAGUACGUGAAAUUGUUGAAAGGGAAGCGCUCAUGACCAGACUUGGGCUUGGUUGAUCAUCCAGGGUUCUCCCUGGUGCACUCUUCCGGCCCAGGCCAGCAUCAGUUCGCUGUGGGGGAUAAAGGCUUCGGGAAUGUGGCUCCCUCGGGAGUGUUAUAGCCCGUCGUGUAAUACCCUGUGGCGGACUGAGGUUCGCGCAUUCGCAAGGAUGCUGGCGUAAUGGUCAUCAGCGACCCGUCUUGAAACACGGACCAAGGAGUCGUCUUCGUAUGCGAGUGUUCGGGUGUCAAACCCCUACGCGUAAUGAAAGUGAACGCAGGUGAGAGCUUCGGCGCAUCAUCGACCGAUCCUGAUGUUCUCGGAUGGAUUUGAGUAAGAGCAUACGGGGCCGGACCCGAAAGAAGGUGAACUAUGCCUGUAUAGGGUGAAGCCAGAGGAAACUCUGGUGGAGGCUCGCAGCGGUUCUGACGUGCAAAUCGAUCGUCAAAUAUGGGCAUGGGGGCGAAAGACU